ensembl:lncRNA
AGCAGCCACCAGGCCCAGGCUCUUCCAGCAGCCACUAGGCCCAGGAUCCUCCUGCUCCACCAGGCCCAGGAUCCUGCAGCAGCCACCAGGCCCAGGCUCUUCCAGCAGCCACCAGGCCCAGGCUCUUCCAGCAGCCACUAGGCCCAGGAUCCUCCUGCUCCACCAGGCCCAGGAUCCUCCAGCAGCCACCAGGCCCAGGCUCUUCCAGCAGCCACUAGGCCCAGGAUCCUCCAGCAGCCACCAGGCCCAGGCUCUUCCAGCAGCCACUAGGCCCAGGAUCCUCCUGCUCCACCAGGCCCAGGAGCGUUAAGAUGCCGCCUAAGAGGAGCAACGUUAAUGAGGAGGAACUGGAGGACAUAAAGAAAUCCCUAAACUUUAUGUCUGAAG